UAACGCGUAGGUAACCUGCCUUGUAGCGGGGGAGUAACUAUUGGAAACGAUAGCUAAUACCGCAUAACAAUGGGUGACUCAUGUCAUUUAUUUGAAAGGGGGCAAAUGCUCCACUACAAGAUGGACCUGCGUUGUAUUAGCUAGUAGGUGAGGUAACGGCUCACCUAGGCGACGAUACAUAGCCGACCUGAGAGGGUGAUCGGCCACACUGGGACUGAGACACGGCCCAG
rnacentral:rRNA from 1 species